rnacentral:rRNA from 1 species
GAGGAAAAGAAAAUAACAAUGAUUUCCCUAGUAACGGCGAGUGAAGAGGAAAGAGCUCAAAGUUGGAACCUGUUUGGCUUAGCUAAACCGGAUUGUAAACUGUAGAAGUGUUUUCCAGACACGCCUGGUAAAAAAGUCCUUUGGAACAGGGCAUCAUAGAGGGUGAGAAUCCCGUCUUUGGCCAGAGCUGUUGUCUUUUGUGAUACAUUUUCAAAGAGUCAGGUUGUUUGGGAAUGCAGCCUAAAUUGGGUGGUAAAUCUCACCUAAAGCUAAAUAUUUGCGAGAGACCGAUAGCGAACAAGUACCGUGAGGGAAAGAUGAAAAGAACUUUGAAAAGAGAGUUAAACAGUAUGUGAAAUUGUUAAAAGGGAACCGUUUGGAGCCAGACUGGCUUGAUCGUAAUCAAUCUAAGCUUCGGCUUGGAUGCACUUGCGGUCUUUGCCUGCCAACGACAAUUUUUUUUGGAGGAAAAAACUAGGAGAAAUGUGGCCCCUCGGGGUGUUAUAGUCUCUUAGAAAAUACUCUGAAUUGGAUUGAGGAACGCAGUGAAUGCCUUUAGGCAAGAUUGCUGGGCGCUUUCGCUGAUAGGUGUUAGAAUUUCUGCCUUGGGUGGUGCUAAUAGUUAAAGGAGAAACUCGCUUAGUAUAUU